CGCAUCUGUGCAUGCAGCAUAUCAAUAAGCGGAGGAAAAGAAACUAACAAGGAUUCCCUUAGUAACGGCGAGUGAAGCGGGAAGAGCUCAAAUUUGAAAUCUUCAAGGUUUUACCUUGACGAAUUGUAGUUUAAAGAAGUGUUUUCUGUUGAAGUUUUUGGUAAAAGUUCUUUGGAAUAGGACAUCAUAGAGGGUGAGAAUCCCGUAUUUGACCAUUAUUUUCAGCUGUGUGAUACACUUUCAAAGAGUCGGAUUGUUUGGGAAUGCAGUCCAAAAUGGGUGGUAAAUUUCAUCUAAAGCUAAAUAUUGGCGAGAGACCGAUAGCGAACAAGUACCGUGAGGGAAAGAUGAAAAGAACUUUGAAAAGAGAGUUAAACAGUACGUGAAAUUGUCAAAAGGGAAGCGUUUGACACCAGUGUUGUUUUCUCGAAAAUCAAUUAAAAAGAGUUAGAUUUUGUUGUGUAUUGACCUUAGCAGCUUGCAUUUCAAUUUUCUUGCUUUUUUUAAUGCACUUUUCGUUUAACAAGUCAACAUCAGUUUCUUUUGUUGUAAAAAGGUCAUUGGAAGGUGGCUUUCUUUUCGGAGAAAGUGUUUAUAGCCUUUGACUCCUGCAAUCGGAGAGACUGAGGUCCUGCAGCGUAGAUCCUUCGGGGUUAGAUACAUUUGUGCUAAGCUACUAGCUUUUUCAUAGACAACUUGUUGUACUAUGAUUAGUCUUGUAGCUUACCUCGCUUAUGCUAUUUUACCUACGCUUAGGAUGUUGACGCGCGUGUGUGCGUG
rnacentral:rRNA from 1 species